UUGGGUCCACCUCCCACCCGUGUUUAUUUACCUCGUUGCUUCGGCGGGCCCGCCUUAACUGGCCGCCGGGGGGCUCACGCCCCCGGGCCCGCGCCCGCCGAAGACACCCCCGAACUCUGCCUGAAGAUUGUCGUCUGAGUGAAAAUAUAAAUUAUUUAAAACUUUCAACAACGGAUCUCUUGGUUCCGGCAUCGAUGAAGAACGCAGCGAAAUGCGAUACGUAAUGUGAAUUGCAAAUUCAGUGAAUCAUCGAGUCUUUGAACGCACAUUGCGCCCCCUGGUAUUCCGGGGGGCAUGCCUGUCCGAGCGUCAUUGCUGCCCUCAAGCCCGGCUUGUGUGUUGGGCCCCGUCCUCCGAUUCCGGGGGACGGGCCCGAAAGGCAGCGGCGGCACCGCGUCCGGUCCUCGAGCGUAUGGGGCUUUGUCACCCGCUCUGUAGGCCCGGCCGGCGCUUGCCGAUCAACCCAAAUUUUUAUCCAGGUUGACCUCGGAUCAGGUAGGGAUACCCGCUGAACUUAAGCAUAUCAAUAAGCGGAGGAAU
rnacentral:rRNA from 1 species